rnacentral:rRNA from 1 species
GGGGCGGUUGAGUGGCGAACGGGUGAGUAACGCGUGGACGACCUACCCCGGCGCGGGGGAUACCCGCCAGAAAUGGCGGCUAAUACCGCGUACGGUCCUUCGGGUGUAGCCCGGGGGAAGAAAGCAGCGAUGCGCGCUGGGAGGGGUCUGCGUCCGAUUAGCUAGUUGGCGGGGUAACGGCCCACCAAGGCGGUGAUCGGUAGCGGGUCUGAGAGGAUGAUCCGCCACACGGGGACUGAGACACGGCCCCG